GUUCUCAGAGCACAGAGGAUCUUAGGGCAAUGAAGUUAUUCUGUGUGAUACUACAGUGCAUCUGGCCCUGAGACAGGGAGCCCCGCACAAGCCAAGAGAGGAGGCGUCCUCCUCCGCCCAUGACGUACAUUUCCUGCUUGGAGAGUGGAGAGAGAGAGAGUGAGAGAGGGAACACAAGCAAGGGGAAG